rnacentral:rRNA from 1 species
GUAGGUGGCAAGCGUUGUCCGGAAUUAUUGGGGCGUAAAGCGCGCGCAGGGGCGGUCCUUUAAGUCUGAUGUGAAAGCCCACGGCUCAACCGUGGAGGGUCAUUGGAAACUGGGGGACUUGAGUACAGAAGAGGAAAGCGGAAUUCCAAGUGUAGCGGUGAAAUGCGUAGAGAUUUGGAGGAACACCAGUGGCGAAGGCGGCUUUCUGGUCUGUAACUGACGCUGAGGCGCGAAAGCGUGGGGAGCAAACAGGAUUAGAUACCCUGGUAGUCCACGCCGUAAACGAUGAGUGCUAAGUGUUAGGGGGUUUCCGCCCCUUAGUGCUGCAGCUAACGCAUUAAGCACUCCGCCUGGGGAGUACGGCCGCAAGGCUG